GUGGGGAAUAUUGGGCAAUGGGGGAAACCCUGACCCAGCGACGCCGCGUGAGGGAAGAAGGCCUUAGGGUCGUAAACCUCUGUUGUGUGGGAAGAAGAGCGUGACGGUACCACACGAGGAAGUCCCGGCUAACUACGUGCCAGCAGCCGCGGUAAUACGUAGGGGACGAGCGUUGCCCGGAUUUACUGGGCGUAAAGGGCGCGUAGGCGGUCAUUUAAGUCAGCUGUGAAAUGGUGCGGCUUAACCGCAUCAUGCGGUUGAAACUGGAUGACUGGAGUAGUGGAGAGGCAAGUGGAAUUCCCAGUGUAGCGGUGAAAUGCGUAGAUAUUGGGAAGAACACCGGUGGCGAAGGCGACUUGCUGGCCAGCAACUGACGCUGAGGCGCGAAAGCCAGGGGAGCAAACGGGAUUAGAAACCCGGGUAGUCC
rnacentral:rRNA from 1 species